rnacentral:rRNA from 1 species
UACGGGGGGGGCAAGCGUUGUUCGGAAUUACUGGGCGUAAAGGGCUCGUAGGCGGCCAACUAAGUCAGACGUGAAAUCCCUCGGCUUAACCGGGGAACUGCGUCUGAUACUGGAUGGCUUGAAUCCGGGAGAGGGAUGCGGAAUUCCAGGUGUAGCGGUGAAAUGCGUAGAUAUCUGGAGGAACACCGGUGGCGAAGGCAGCAUCCUGGACCGGCAUUGACGCUGAGGAGCGAAAGCCAGGGGAGCAAACGGG